GCCAGCAGCCAUAUCACCUUGCAGCUCUCAACUGGCAGCCCCACCGAAGCCCAGCAGGUGUGAGCCUGGUCAGUACCUGGAUGGGGGACUCCUGGGAAGCUAUGGUUGCUGCUGGAA
rnacentral:rRNA from 1 species